UGGGACUGAGAUACGGCCAAGACUCCUACGGGAGGCAGCAGUGGGGAAUAUUGCACAAUGGGCGCAAGCCUGAUGCAGAGACGCCGCGUGCGGGAUGACGGCCUUCGGGUUGUAAACCGCUUUUGAUCGGGAGCAAGCCUUCGGGUGAGUUACCUUUCGAAUAAGCACCGGCUAACUACGUGCCAGCAAGCCGCGGUAAUACGUAG
rnacentral:rRNA from 1 species